rnacentral:tRNA from 1 species
ACCUGGCUGGUUCAGUUGGAAGAGCAUGUGACUCUUGAUCUCUGGUCAUGAGUUCAAGCCCCUUGUUGGGUA